GAAAAAGGACAAGAAGUGAGGGGACGGGUUUGGAGGAGACGAUGGUCAGGUCCUCUGCAGCCAGGCUACAUCGUUAACACUUAGGGAAACUAAGCCAAGCUAUAAAUGAAGACAUCUCCUGCAGUCUCACAUACCAACAGCUACAUGGCAAGUUAUUCAGUGACUCCAAUUUGGAUGCCAGCCACAGCAUUCCUGGGAUCUUUUGCCACUUAAAUGAGUUGAGGCUUGGACAUGGGGCAUGGCAAGGGCAUGGGAAGUCAAGGUUCAGAGAAGGCAAGUGACGCUAAGAUAGCAGAGCGCUUAGGAAUAGCCACUCAAGGAUGCAGUUCCCUAGCCCAAAGCCCCACCAAACUGUGGGAGGAUUUACCGUGCUUCUAUCAGACAGAAAAGUGCAUGGAGAAGGCUGUAAGGAAGGGAGUUCAAACCACCUCCCAGCUAUGACUCACCCCGGGGCACCAACUCCUGAGCAGAGACAGAAGAGCGGCUAAGAUGCCCCAGCCAACCCCCAUGUGCUUUAUCAGUCCAGAGGGAGUACAAAGCUGGACCCCAAGAGGUUUGGUGUCUCGGGGAGAGAAAGAAGGGGCCCUGGUGGUGCCCCCUGGUUGCUGUUGCUGGCCUGCCAGUCACCUCUGGCCCUGCCAGCCUCCUUCCCUUCCUCCAGCCCUCAUUAUACGGGGUACCCAAAGUUGAGAGGACGCUGCCCUGCUUGAGGGGCAUCCGAUCUAGAAGUGCAGCGAGAAGCAGCCCAAAGGCCUGGGCUGUGCUGGCAUCGCAGAAUCUGGGCACCACUGCCCCCUGGUGGUGAUCUAAGACUUCUCCGUGUCUGGGCACCCCCACAUCAGGUCGCAGAGCAAAUCCCUGAACCCAAGGGGCCCACAUCUGGUCUGACUUUUUUACAGAGGGAGAAAACAAGUCUCAAGAGAGUAGUGCCAGGGAAGGAGGAGACCAAAUUUGGUCUAAAACAGCCCUCACAGUUUGCAGCCUGGCUCUGUUUCUCACUGGUAUAAGAUUCCAGACAAGUGGCCUCACCUAUCCACUGAGAAUUGGCCCCAGGGUCUCGUACACGCUAGGCAAGGAGCACAAAUAAAGUUCAGAGCACAAAGUGGGAGGUGGAGUGGAAGGCCCUCCCAACAACAAGCUGGAACCCUGGACAGCCAUACCCUUGGAGGGCUCAAACUCACGACUGCGUGCUUGCAAAGUAGGCGCUUAUGCCGCUGAGCUAAGUCCUCAGCCCCCUCAAGCCUUGAACUUGCAUGGAGGUGACCUGAGAUCAGUUAUGCUUUGGGCUCCUGAGAGAACCAAAUGGAAAUCUUUCAAGGGAGAUGUCCUGAACCUAGAUUCCACAUUAGUCAUAUAAAUAAAAUCUCAAGCACAACGCAAGCACAUGGUAAAAGACAGUCAAGCACAGGAAACAAAACUCCAUGACAAGAACCAGAAGAGACAGGAGAUAACAAAGACCAACCCAGAAAGAAUUUAAACACUGGAAUUAUUUUUACAUAGAAUAUACAACAGAUACACUGAAACAAAAGAUUAGCUCAAACCGGGGACCAUAAAAAGUGACCAUGGAUUUGAAAAAAGGCAAAUCUGAACUUCUAGAAUUGAAUAAUACAGUAAUUAAAAGUAAAAUGCAAGUUUAUAUCAGACUGGGCAUAGCUUAAAAAAGAAUUGGCAAUUUGAAAGUCAGAAAAAAUGAUCUGGAAUGACCAUGAGGAGACAGAAAGUGUAAAAAAUACAGAAGAAAUGAUUUUAAAAAAUGGAAAAAUCAAUGACAAUAAGCAUUUACCAUUUCUUUGACUGAAAUAAAAACAGAUAAAAUAAUACACAGUGAAAAAGUGAUAUUUGAAAAACCAGUAGCUGAAAAAUUCCCAGGUCUGAUUAGACAUUGAUCUAUAGAUUCAUAAAGCCAAAAAAAUCCUAACUCAGACACAAUUUUUAAAAAUUAGGCUCAGAUGGGCCAGGGGUUUAGCUCAGCGGCGUAAGUGCCUGCUUGGCAAACGUGAGGUCGUAAAUUCAAUCCCUGGUACAAAAAAAAAAAAAAAAAAAAAAUCAGGCUCCGAAAAACCUACGUGCUAUGUGCCCCCCGCUAUGGCACUGUGGAAAAGGUGAAACCUUGGAAAUGAUAACAAUGCCAGUGGUCGCCAGGGCUUAGGGCAAGGAACAUGGA